GAACGCUAGCUACAGGCUUAACACAUGCAAGUCGAGGGGCAGCAUGGUCUUAGCUUGCUAAGGCCGAUGGCGACCGGCGCACGGGUGAGUAACACGUAUCCAACCUGCCGUCUACUCUUGGACAGCCUUCUGAAAGGAAGAUUAAUACAAGAUGGCAUCAUGAGUCCGCAUGUUCACAUGAUUAAAGGUAUUCCGGUAGACGAUGGGGAUGCGUUCCAUUAGAUAGUAGGCGGGGUAACGGCCCACCUAGUCUUCGAUGGGUAGGGGUUCUGAGAGGAAGGUCCCCCACAUUGGAACUGAGACACGGUCCAAACUCCUACGGGAGGCAGCAGUGAGGAAUAUUGGUCAAUGGGCGAGAGCCUGAACCAGCCAAGUAGCGUGAAGGAUGACUGCCCUAUGGGUUGUAAACUUCUUUUAUAAAGGAAUAAAGUCGGGUAUGGAUACCCGUUUGCAUGUACUUUAUGAAUAAGGAUCGGCUAACUCCGUGCCAGCAGCCGCGGUAAUACGGAGGAUCCGAGCGUUAUCCGGAUUUAUUGGGUUUAAAGGGAGCGUAGAUGGAUGUUUAAGUCAGUUGUGAAAGUUUGCGGCUCAACCGUAAAAUUGCAGUUGAUACUGGAUAUCUUGAGUGCAGUUGAGGCAGGCGGAAUUCGUGGUGUAGCGGUGAAAUGCUUAGAUAUCACGAAGAACUCCGAUUGCGAAGGCAGCCUGCUAAGCUGCAACUGACAUUGAGGCUCGAAAGUGUGGGUAUCAAACAGGAUUAGAUACCCUGGUAGUCCACACGGUAAACGAUGAAUACUCGCUGUUUGCGAUAUACAGCAAGCGGCCAAGCGAAAGCGUUAAGUAUUCCACCUGGGGAGUACGCCGGCAACGGUGAAACUCAAAGGAAUUGACGGGGGCCCGCACAAGCGGAGGAACAUGUGGUUUAAUUCGAUGAUACGCGAGGAACCUUACCCGGGCUUAAAUUGCAGAUGAAUUACGGUGAAAGCCGUAAGCCGCAAGGCAUCUGUGAAGGUGCUGCAUGGUUGUCGUCAGCUCGUGCCGUGAGGUGUCGGCUUAAGUGCCAUAACGAGCGCAACCCUUGUUGUCAGUUACUAACAGGUCAUGCUGAGGACUCUGACAAGACUGCCAUCGUAAGAUGUGAGGAAGGUGGGGAUGACGUCAAAUCAGCACGGCCCUUACGUCCGGGGCUACACACGUGUUACAAUGGGGGGUACAGAGGGCCGCUACCACGCGAGUGGAUGCCAAUCCCAAAAACCUCUCUCAGUUCGGACUGGAGUCUGCAACCCGACUCCACGAAGCUGGAUUCGCUAGUAAUCGCGCAUCAGCCACGGCGCGGUGAAUACGUUCCCGGGCCUUGUACACACCGCCCGUCAAGCCAUGGGAGCCGGGGGUACCUGAAGUGCGUAACCGCGAGGAGCGCCCUAGGGUAAAACUGGUGACUGGG
rnacentral:rRNA from 1 species